rnacentral:rRNA from 1 species
AGCAGCCGCGGUAAUUCCAGCUCCAAUAGCGUAUAUUAAAGUUGUUGCAGUUAAAAAGCUCGUAGUUGGAAUUUCGGGAUCAAGUCGUCGGUUGUGCUCAGGUACGUACUGGCGUCAUUGAUUUCUCCCUUCUGACGAACCAUGAUGUCAUUAAUUUGGUGUUAUGGGAAAUCAGGACUGUUACUUUGAAAAAAUUAGAGUGUUUAAAGCAGGCUCACGCUUGAAUACAUUAGCAUGGAAUAAUGAAAUAGGACGUUCGAUCCUAUUUUGUUGGUUUUAGGAUCAACGUAAUGAUUAAUAGGGAUAGUUGGGGGCAUUAGUAUUCAAUUGUCAGAGGUGAAAUUCUUGGAUUUAUUGAAAGACUAACUACUGCGAAAGCAUUUGCCAAGGAUGUUUUCAUUAAUCAAAGAACGAAAGUUAGGGGAUCGAAGACGAUCAGAUACCGUCGUAGUCUUAACCAUAAACUAUGCCGACUAGGGAUCGGAUGAUGUUAAUUUUUUAAUGACUCAUUCGGCGCCUU